rnacentral:rRNA from 1 species
GUGGGGAAUAUUGGACAAUGGGCGCAAGCCUGAUCCAGCCAUGCCGCGUGAGUGAUGAAGGCCUUAGGGUUGUAAAGCUCUUUCAGUGGGGACGAUAAUGACGGUACCCACAGAAGAAGCCCCGGCUAACUUCGUGCCAGCAGCCGCGGUAAUACGAAGGGGGCUAGCGUUGUUCGGAUUUACUGGGCGUAAAGCGCACGUAGGCGGAUCGUUAAGUCCGGGGUGAAAUCCUGGAGCUCAACUCCAGAACUGCCUUCGAUACUGGCGAUCUUGAGUCCGGAAGAGGUGAGUGGAACUCCUAGUGUAGAGGUGGAAUUCGUAGAUAUUAGGAAGAACACCAGUGGCGAAGGCGGCUCACUGGUCCGGUACUGACGCUGAGGUGCGAAAGCGUGGGGAGCAAACAGGAUUAGAUACCCCAGUAGUCC